UACGAAGGGGGCUAGCGUUGUUCGGAAUUCCUGGGCGUAAAGCGCGUGUAGGCGGGGCUUUAAGGCAGAGGUGAAAUGCCAAGGCUCAACCUUGGAACUGCCUUUGAUACUGGAGAUCUUGAGUCCGGGAGAGGUGAGUGGAAUUGCGAGUGUAGAGGUGAAAUUCGUAGAUAUUCGCAAGAACACCAGUGGCGAAGGCGGCUCACUGGCCCGGAACUGACGCUGAGACGCGAAAGCGUGGGGAGCAAACAGG
rnacentral:rRNA from 1 species